GAAGAGUGAUAGCCCUACAAUGCUAGCUGCUAACAGCCAGGGAACAAUAAAAGUGCUUGUCCUUGCGGCUUGAUAAAAUUGAAAAAGAUUUUAAGAGAUGAAAGAGAAAAUUAAUGGCGAUGAUGAAAGAGAAAAUUAAUGGCGAUGAAUCGGUCACUCCUGCCUUUACAUUUUGUUUUGGUAUCAAUUGUAUAUAUAUCAAAAGUGAAAGUUUUUGAGGCCACUGUUCUGAAAAUUCUACCG
rnacentral:lncRNA from 1 species